rnacentral:rRNA from 1 species
GAUGAACGCUGGCGGCAUGCUUUACACAUGCAAGUCGGACGGGAAGUGGUGUUUCCCGUGGCGGACGGGUGAGUAACGCGUAAGAACCUGCCCUUGGGAGGGGAACAACAGCUGGAAACGGCUGCUAAUACCCCGUAGGCUGAGGAGCGAAAGGAGGAAUCCGCCCAAGGAGGGGCUCGCGUUUGAUUAGCUAGUUGGUGAGGUAAUAGCUUACCAAGGCCGUGAUCAGUAGCUGGUCCGAGAGGAUGAUCAGCCACACUGGGACUGAGACAAGGCCCAGACUCCUACGGGAGGCAGCAGUGGGGAAUUUUCCGCAAUGGGCGAAAGCCUGACGGAGCAAUGCCGCGUGGAGGUAAAAGGCCUACGGGUCAUGAACUUCUUUUCCUGGAGAAGAAACAAUGACGGUAGCUGGGGAAUAAGCAUCGGCUAACUCUGUG